rnacentral:lncRNA from 10 species
AGGUCCACUUGCAGUGAAAUAAACCAGAGGUUUGAAUCAUGGCUUGAUACGAAAUUAUUGGAAAGAAUAUGGCGAUGACAUCCACAAUGCCGGGGGACUACACAACGGCACGAACACUAGGAAUUGAAGAUCAUGGACGCCACCUUAAAAUCUGUCCACCACACCAAGGUAAGAAGACGAAAUUACAAGCAGGAUGAAAAAUUUGUUCAAUGAAACACAGCUAUUAAGUGGCUGACCUAAUAAGUGUUAUGUAUAAGUGACUCAUCCAUUGUAGCUUCUGGGACUCAACUUUAGGAUCAUCGUCAUAUGCAGCCUGGAGCUAGCCAUAUUUGAAGAGCUAGGAAGGAGGCACAGUGAUUGACAAUCUCCUUUCUCCUCAACUAGAAUGUCAUUUCCUUUUUUAAAACUAAUUUAAAUCCCAUCUACAUUCAAUUGCUUGUCUAAAAUAAAACCAUAAAGAAAAUAUUUAGAAGAUGAGAUUCCUGUGUUUCUGGCUUUCAUGACUUUUUAGAUUUCCUUUCUACUGGAAAACUUUUAACUUUGAAAACCGCAAGUAAUAUUUUUCUUCCUGAAACCUCUGCAGUGGUAGCAAUGCACUGAAGUUUGAUUAAAAGGUCA